UGAAAGGCGCUUUCGGGUGUCGCUGAUGGAUGGACCCGCGGUGCAUUAGCUAGUUGGUGAGGUAACGGCUCACCAAGGCCACGAUGCAUAGCCGACCUGAGAGGGUGAUCGGCCACAUUGGGACUGAGACACGGCCCAAACUCCUACGGGAGGCAGCAGUAGGGAAUCUUCGGCAAUGGACGAAAGUCUGACCGAGCAACGCCGCGUGAGUGAAGAAGGUUUUCGGAUCGUAAAACUCUGUUGUUAGAGAAGAACAAGGAUGAGAGUAACUGUUCAUCCCUUGACGGUAUCUAACCAGAAAGCCACGGCUAACUACGUGCCAGCAGCCGCGGUAAUACGUAGGUGGCAAGCGUUGUCCGGAUUUAUUGGGCGUAAAGCGAGCGCAGGCGGUUUCUUAAGUCUGAUGUGAAAGCCCCCGGCUCAACCGGGGAGGGUCAUUGGAAACUGGGAGACUUGAGUGCAGAAGAGGAGAGUGGAAUUCCAUGUGUAGCGGUGAAAUGCGUAGAUAUAUGGAGGAACACCAGUGGCGAAGGCGGCUCUCUGGUCUGUAACUGACGCUGAGGCUCGAAAGCGUGGGGAGCAAACAGGAUUAGAUACCCUGGUAGUCCACGCCGUAAACGAUGAGUGCUAAGUGUUGGAGGGUUUCCGCCCUUCAGUGCUGCAGCUAACGCAUUAAGCACUCCGCCUGGGGAGUACGACCGCAAGGUUGAAACUCAAAGGAAUUGACGGGGGCCCGCACAAGCGGUGGAGCAUGUGGUUUAAUUCGAAGCAACGCGAAGAACCUUACCAGGUCUUGACAUCCUUUGACCACUCUAGAGAUAGAGCUUCCCCUUCGGGGGCAAAGUGACAGGUGGUGCAUGGUUGUCGUCAGCUCGUGUCGUGAGAUGUUGGGUUAAGUCCCGCAACGAGCGCAACCCUUAUUGUUAGUUGCCAUCAUUCAGUUGGGCACUCUAGCAAGACUGCCGGUGACAAACCGGAGGAAGGUGGGGAUGACGUCAAAUCAUCAUGCCCCUUAUGACCUGGGCUACACACGUGCUACAAUGGGAAGUACAACGAGU
rnacentral:rRNA from 1 species